rnacentral:rRNA from 1 species
GCGCUGCUAUCAUGCAGUCGAGCGGACAGAUGGGAGCUUGCUCCCUGAUGUUAGCGGCGGACGGGUGAGUAACACGUGGGUAACCUGCCUGUAAGACUGGGAUAACUCCGGGAAACCGGGGCUAAUACCGGAUGGUUGUCUGAAUCGCAUGGUUCAGACAUAAAAGGUGGCUUCGGCUACCACUUACAGAUGGACCCGCGGCGCAUUAGCUAGUUGGUGAGGUAACGGCUCACCAAGGCGACGAUGCGUAGCCGACCUGAGAGGGUGAUCGGCCACACUGGGACUGAGACACGGCCCAGACUCCUACGGGAGGCAGCAGUAGGGAAUCUUCCGCAAUGGACGAAAGUCUGACGGAGCAACGCCGCGUGAGUGAUGAAGGUUUUCGGAUCGUAAAGCUCUGUUGUUAGGGAAGAACAAGUGCCGUUCAAAUAGGGCGGCACCUUGACGGUACCUAACCAGAAAGCCACGGCUAACUACGUGCCAGCAGCCGCGGUAAUACGUAGGUGGCAAGCGUUGUCCGGAAUUAUUGGGCGUAAAGGGCUCGCAGGCGGUUUCUUAAGUCUGAUGUGAAAGCCCCCGGCUCAACCGGGGAGGGUCAUUGGAAACUGGGGAACUUGAGUGCAGAAGAGGAGAGUGGAAUUCCACGUGUAGCGGUGAAAUGCGUAGAGAUGUGGAGGAACACCAGUGGCGAAGGCGACUCUCUGGUCUGUAACUGACGCUGAGGAGCGAAAGCGUGGGGAGCGAACAGGAUUAGAUACCCUGGUAGUCCACGCCGUAAACGAUGAGUGCUAAGUGUUAGGGGGUUUCCGCCCCUUAGUGCUGCAGCUAACGCAUUAAGCACUCCGCCUGG